rnacentral:lncRNA from 1 species
UGUGUUUGAGAUCUUGCCUUGGUAGCUGGAUGCCUUGGUGCAAGACAUUCAAGGUAAGAUUGAUCCCCUGUACCCAUGAGUUCACUUCUCAUGUAGAGUUAAUAGUCCUGUUAUUUUUCUAUACACUAUGGCAGAGUAGAGAUAUAUUGUGUAUGCCAACAUGUAUGUAAGAGUAAUAGUAAUAUGAUACUUCUGAUUGUAGAUCCAAGGUUUUAAACCGACAAAAAAUGCUAUGAGUUCUCAUAUCAAAUUUUUAUGCCAGAUGUGCAUGCUCAAAGAUUUUGGUCGGCAACUUAUAGUGUGUAUCAAAGGAUUCUGAAAAAAUAAGGUUGAGUUGUUAUUGGACAUUGGACCUUUAUAUCUUUUGCAUGACAUUUUAUUUACUACUUGAGCUCUGUAUUUUUCCUGUGCAUAUCUUUGUGCUAAAAAAUGCAUUUCUGUUAAAUAGUAAUUCCUAACUAAUUGUUUCUGAUAAACAACGAUGCCUUCCUUACACAGGUUGUUUGAUGCGUUUGUGCUCGUCGGCGGGACGGUGCAAGGCACAACUCCGACGCGGUUCCUCGCCGGUUGGACGGCGUUCAGGCGCAACCCCGGCGCGCACUGAGUACUGCCUCGGCUACAGCCUCCCUUGGUGAGGUCCAUCUUCCUCCCGCUCCUCUGCUUCGGCUACUGUAUGGGACAUUGCCAUGGCUAUAUUGAUGUGGUGCUUGUCUGGUUGAUGCUCUAUGCCCUACUCAUGCAUCGGUUUCUACUUGAGCUCUGUACUUGUGGAUCCAUGCCAUUUUAGGGUUUGCAGGCUGUUGUUCAUGUUUAGUUGCUAUCAUAGGAGCUAAUGUGAUGCUCUGGUUUACAUGUGGAUGCCCUGGUCCUAUAGCUAUGCUCCUGGAUUUGCUAGAUUGAUCAGUGGCAUUCGUGCUAGGGCGAUGAUGAUUAAUCGUGGCUGAAAUAAGUGUGCCUUUGAGCAAUCGUGGCACCUGUGCGUAUCAGGUUGGAUCCUCCCUCUUGUCUCUAGAAUCCUUUUUGAUCCUGUGAUACUUGUUGUUGUCCUUGGAUGGUCAUUCUUGUUGAGUGAUAACCAGGGCAGCUCCACUGUAUGAACAGAUUGAUCUGGUGAUAAGAGAUGACGGGGGUAGGUUAUAUGAUCGAGGAAAGGUGAAUCUGAGCCCGCUAUGAUGGACAGGCCGCUCUCGCACCACCAGACUCCCUUCAGGGUAGUUACCCACGGGCACGUACUUUUGCUGUUUAUUUUUACUUGUGAUUCCGCUCGUUGUGAACGUGGCUCGAUCCAUGUUGUGGCCCAAUUAUUAUUUUUGUUUUGUUUCGAUGGAUCGUCUUGGCUUGCUUUUGGCCUGAAGUUGUUGCCUUGCUUUUGGCACACCUGAUUCCACUACCUUUUGUUGUUGCUUGGACCAGUUUCUAUGUAAUGAACAUAUUUAUAUCAAUGUUGUGCUUCUGUUAUAAUCUUGCUAUAUUACACUGGUGAUUUUCGGUGAUUACUCUGAUUUCUACUUGCCCCAGUGAGUAUUUACACGGUCAUACUCAUGUUGUAUAAUUCCUUUGGCUAAAUUGUAUAAUUCUGACAGGUUCAUACAUCAUGUUAAGGAGUAUUAAGUUAUAGCACGCUUACUUAGGUUCUUUGGCAUGUUAUUCAUAGGGUUAUCAAGUAGGUCCUAAUAGGGUUACUCACAGUAUUAAGUUAGGGAUUGAACUUGUGGCGGUCCAAUAUCAUGCUAUUGUGUAUAUUUGCAAUGUUUUGGUCACUGUAUUAUCGUUACUGGAUUGGAUAUGACUUUUACCCGGCAGCGGUGCUGCCAGGUGCGGCAAGCCACACUUCCUAUCUAGUUACCAAAAGAGCGUGAGGUGAAGCGAGCAAUGUUAAAGCUUUUUGUCCUCCUCUACUUAUACUACAGCUCAGUUCUGCUACAGCUAUGGAUGUGCCAACGAGUUCCAU